GUACACGAGCGGCGAACGGGUGAGUAACACGUGGGUGAUCUACCCUGUACUUCGGGAUAAGCCUGGGAAACUGGGUCUAAUACCGGAUAUGACCUUCCGAUGCAUGUCGGUGGGUGGAAAGAUUUAUCGGUACAGGAUGGGCCCGCGGCCUAUCAGCUUGUUGGUGGGGUAAUGGCCUACCAAGGCGACGACGGGUAGCCGGCCUGAGAGGGCGACCGGCCACACUGGGACUGAGACACGGCCCAGACUCCUACGGGAGGCAGCAGUGGGGAAUAUUGCACAAUGGGCGAAAGCCUGAUGCAGCGACGCCGCGUGAGGGAUGACGGCCUUCGGGUUGUAAACCUCUUUCGACAGGGACGAAGCGCAAGUGACGGUACCUGUAGAAGAAGCACCGGCCAACUACGUGCCAGCAGCCGCGGUAAUACGUAGGGUGCGAGCGUUGUCCGGAAUUACUGGGCGUAAAGAGCUUGUAGGCGGUUUGUCGCGUCGUCCGUGAAAACUUGGGGCUCAACCCCAAGCUUGCGGGCGAUACGGGCAGACUUGAGUACUGCAGGGGAGACUGGAAUUCCUGGUGUAGCGGUG
rnacentral:rRNA from 1 species